AUGCAUCUCUGUCAGAGCUGGAGCAGUUAAUGUCUGCUGCUAAGGUUUCCACUGCAGAUUCAAGAAAAACAAUGUCCUUGUGUUUUCUGUCUGUCUGAUUGUGGUAGCCAAGAUUGAAAAGCAGAGUAUAUAA
rnacentral:snoRNA from 1 species